AAGUGUUACAGCUCUCUUAGCAUUUGCCUAGCAGGUCUUCCAGUAUCUUCUGGAAAUCCCAU
rnacentral:snRNA from 1 species